rnacentral:rRNA from 1 species
UACAGAGGGGGCAAGCGUUGUUCGGAAUUACUGGGCGUAAAGGGCGCGUAGGCGGCCCGCUAAGUCGAACGUGAAAUCCCUAGGCUCAACCUAGGAACUGCGUCUGAUACUGGAUGGCUUGAGUAUGGGAGAGGGAUGUAGAAUUCCAGGUGUAGCGGUGAAAUGCGUAGAUAUCUGGAGGAAUACCGGUGGCGAAGGCGGCAUCCUGGACCAUUACUGACGCUGAGGCGCGAAAGCUAGGGGAGCAAACGGG